rnacentral:rRNA from 1 species
AACGAACGCUGGCGGCAUGCCUUACACAUGCAAGUCGAACGAUACCUUCCCUUCUAGUGGCGCACGGGUGCGUAACGCUUGGUAAUCUUCCCUUAGGUUCCGAAUCAUUCCCCGUAAGGGGUCCUAAUCUUUGCUAAUAUCUUCUGCCCACUGGUUUUUCGACUUUGGUUGGGCCAGCGUUGGAUUAGCUUGUUGGUAGGGUAAAAGCCUACCAAGGCGACGAUCUAUAGCUGGUCUGAGAGGAUGAUCAGCGACACUGGGACUGAGACACGGCCCGGACUCCUACGGGAGGCAGCAGUGGGGAAUAUAGGAAAAUGGGCGAAAGGAUGAAGCAGCAAUGGCGGGAGAGUGAUGAAGGCCUUAGGGAAGAAAAGCUCUUUUACACGGGAGGAUAAUGACAGUACCGGGAGAAUAAGCACCGGCUAACUACGUG